AUGGGGGGAACCCUGAUCCAGCCAUGCCGCGUGUGUGAAGAAGGCCUUAUGGUUGUAAAGCACUUUAAGCGAGGAGGAGGCUACUUUAGUUAAUACCUAGAGAUAGUGGACGUUACUCGCAGAAUAAGCACCGGCUAACUCUGUGCCAGCAGCCGCGGUAAUACAGAGGGUGCGAGCGUUAAUCGGAUUUACUGGGCGUAAAGCGUGCGUAGGCGGCUUAUUAAGUCGGAUGUGAAAUCCCCGAGCUUAACUUGGGAAUUGCAUUCGAUACUGGUGAGCUAGAGUAUGGGAGAGGAUGGUAGAAUUCCAGGUGUAGCGGUGAAAUGCGUAGAGAUCUGGAGGAAUACCGAUGGCGAAGGCAGCCAUCUGGCCUAAUACUGACGCUGAGGUACGAAAGCAUGGGGAGCAAACAGGAUUAGAUACCCUGGUAGUCCAUGCCGUAAACGAUGUCUACUAGCCGUUGGGGCCUUUGAGGCUUUAGUGGCGCAGCUAACGCGAUAAGUAGACCGCCUGGGGAGU
rnacentral:rRNA from 1 species